AUUGAACGCUGGCGGCAUGCCUUACACAUGCAAGUCGAACGGCAGCACGGGAGCAAUCCUGGUGGCGAGUGGCGAACGGGUGAGUAAUAUAUCGGAACGUGCCUAGUAGUGGGGGAUAACUACUCGAAAGAGUGGCUAAUACCGCAUGAGAUCUACGGAUGAAAGCAGGGGAUCGCAAGACCUUGUGCUACUAGAGCGGCCGAUGGCAGAUUAGGUAGUUGGUGGGAUAAAAGCUUACCAAGCCGACGAUCUGUAGCUGGUCUGAGAGGACGAUCAGCCACACUGGGACUGAGACACGGCCCAGAUUCCUACGGGAGGCAGCAGUGGGGAAUUUUGGAAAAUGGGCGCAAGCCUGAUCCAGCAAUGCCGCGUGCAGGAUGAAGGCCUUCGGGUUGUAAACUGCUUUUGUACGGAACGAGAAGCCCUGGGUUAAUACCCUGGGGUCAUGACGGUACCGUAAGAAUAAGCACCGGCUAACUACGUGCCAGCCGCCGCCGUAAUAC
rnacentral:rRNA from 1 species